rnacentral:rRNA from 1 species
AAGGCUAAAUACUACCUAGUGACCGAUAGCGUAUAGUACCGUGAGGGAAAGGUGAAAAGAACCCCGGGAGGGGAGUGAAAUAGAACCUGAAACCCUGCACUUACAAGCUGUGGCAGCACAUUUCUUGUGUGACCGCGUACUUUUUGUAGAACGGGCCAACGAGUUACGUUAAGUAGCAAGGUUAAGCACUUAAGGUGUGGAGCCGUAGCGAAAGCGAGUUUUAACUGAGCGUUCAGUUACUUG